CCUGCAGUCUGGCUACACUGCGCAUUUAUUUUCUUUUGUAGCGUUCUUUAAUUAAAAAUAUUUUUGAAUUGAAUCUUGUGUGAUCUCGUUUAUGUUGCGACUGGCCAGGGGCUGAUCGUAACAUAAUUGGGGGCUCGUCCGGGAUCUGCUGAUCCGUUUGAAUCCUAAGGAAGAUGAGUGAGGAUGUACGGUCUCUCCCUGACGUUACCAUGACGGGGAACUGCACUCCAGAAUGCACUGAAUUUGGUCAUUCAGACACCUGUUGGAUGCCAGGUCAGUCGUCCCCGACACGCAAGACCAAGAGUGCCCCAAAGCUCUCUACAUUCGUGCCUUACCAGGAGAGAGCAGGACAGCUGGCCAAUGGGCGUCCGGGGAGCGAGGAGGAACAGUGCACUGGGCCUCCGGCCUCCCACGGUGCCUUCCGCAAGGACACACCUGCCCGUCACACCUCCAAAAGAGAGAUCUACCUGUGAGGAGCACACAAAUGCCCCUCACUGAACCACCCAGAAGGUUUAAGUACAUGAAACAGAUUCAGCCCUACAGGAAUGUAAGCAGCAGCUCAUUGAUUUAUGAUGAUACAAUUAACUGUUUUUUUUUUUUUUUUCCCUUUUUUUAUUUAUUUCCUGCAAUGCAUUGAUGUAAGACUGAAAGAUACAUCACAACAUUCCUGGCCUGUUCUGGAAGCCUGUGGAAUGUUGUAAAGGUAAUCCACCAGUCCUGCCAGAAUCCAUAUCUUAUCCAGCUCCAAAUAAAUCCCACUGAUGACAGUCGUUCUGCACAAGAGGAAAUAGUGUGAUUUAUUAAUAUUAAUAACUAAGCAGACUUUACUGUACAGCGGUGUAAAUACAUUUUAAUGGUGUGCAUAUGUCUGUCGGGCUUCAGUGCUUUCCCUUUGGCUGUUAGGAGCUUCACAUUUGGGGCAUUUUGUUGUAGUUGUUUUACAGUGAUAAAGAAUUGUUGUUGUUACUGGAAGAAAACAGCCAGAAUUCAUUAGUUUGAGUAGAGAGUUCUGCGGCACAUGCACUGGUAACAGGGCCUGGUUGAAGGUCAUUUUAACGUGAUACUUUAGAACAGCUUAGGAGGGGUUCUUUUGUAAUGUUUAGUCUUUGUUCUGUGGAAGUCUCACGUUUUGUAAAAACAAAAAAAGCCAAAACAGAAAGAACACACUGUGCUUAGUUAUAGGUUAUACACAGUCUAAAUCACUGUGGCUGCGAAGUACACUGUCCCCUCCCUGAAGAGGAACCCUGACCUGCAAACUGACCACACCAUGACUGUGCUCUAAAUGUAUCCUUCUGGCCCUCAAGCUCUCAGUUUUUUUUUAGUUGGAAACGCCCCCCCCCCCCCCCCCCAGACUGUAAUGCAAUGGCACACGUCCAGGGUUAGGGGCUGCCACAGACUCUCAAAUACCCAGAGGUGUUAUUGUUCCUUAAUGAUGAGCUGGCAUACUUGAGAAACCACAGAGUAACUGACAUAACAAUUGUCAGUGCCCUUCCCAUAAAAGUAUAAUAAUAAUAAUAAUAAUGUGUAUAAAAUAUUGCAAAAUUCAUUAAAGCUGCUGACACCUGCUUCAGUUAGACAACAGUUUAUUGCAACAUGUUUCUAAUGUGCCAUAUGAAGUAUUCUAGCAUCCAAAAGCAGUAGAAAAUGAAGCCAAACCACAGUGCAUUAAUGUUGUAAUAUGCCUUUAAAAAGGUGUGUCACAGAGUUAGCAUCUGACCCUCACUGGAUUAACUGCUACAUAGUUUUGGGACCAGGGUGGAUUUGCAUUCAGUCCUUGGUGACACCGGAUCAGAAGAUGGUGGAUGAUUCAGUCCUCAUACUCACUGCCUCUCAGCUUCACAAAUAGCAUACUGCUCUUGGAGCUGAUUGCUGAAAUGAGAUGUAUUGUUCAGACAGCUAAUGUAGACAGAAAUAAUGACUGUUCUAAUGGCAUGCCUUUUUCCGCUAGUUUGAUUAUCGGUUCAGUCAAGUGAAAGUCUAUAGCUUCACCGUGCCAGUAACUUUUUUUUUUUACAAGGCGACAUAACAUUUCCAAUCAAUAAUAAUUCAAUGAAUACAGUGCAUUUUGAUAUUUCAGAGUUCUGAAGAACCAUUGUAUUCACAUCUGAAAGAGCAUCAUUGUCUCAGUCAUGUCAAAAAUGUUAUGCACGUUGAGAACACUUUCUCGCUCUCAGCUGUACCCACAGAUGCUGGCAGUUUCUAUUAACUCCAGUAACAGCUGACAUGCUGGACCUGCUACACCUGACGUCUUCAGGUAUUAAAUAAUGGAUGUAAUUAAGCAGUAAUUGUUAUCAGUCUUGAUGAUUCAUCUAAUCUAAUGGCUCAUAUAAAAUAUAUAUAUAUAUAUAUUCUCUCUUCCUACUUUUUUGCAGUCCUACAUCUGAAACUUCUAUUACAUUCACUAUGAUAAAUGUGCAAAAAGUAGAGAUUGACAUGACCCAAUACUACAGGCACUCAAUCACAUGACCUAACACUACAGGCCCUCUCAGUCACAUGACCCAACACUACAGGCCCUCUCAGCACUGGUGACAUGAAAGGCUUUGAUAAAUCAGCAGCAUGUUUGAAGGUAGCAGCACAAAGAAAGUGGUUAGGUAGAAGGUUACUUCACCUUUCUAUGUUCUACUUUUAUGAGCAGUGUGUGACAGUUGUUAAAGCUGGGCAUUCACUAAACUGUAUCGCAGCUGAUUUGAGCAUCCCAGGCAAUUUUUCAAGAUCAGAGGAAAACCUCAUUAGGAGUGCUGUAGCUCUCUGUGUGUGAGAGUCAGCGUGCUCCUGCUAAUUGUUCUCCCGUUCUAUAAAUUAUCUCUUCAGCAAAAUUUCUUCUGUGGGAGAUCAUCACUGACAGACCUGAGCAUAAUUAGAUUAUGGAGCUUUAGUUUGAAGUACAUUUCUGAAAUUGUAUUUCAUUAAUCGGGUUUAUUCUUGUCUGAACAUGCAUAUUAUAUCAUAAAUUGCAAAUUUUGAAUGUGUUGUUCAGUGUAUAAUUACCAUAUCAGAUAGAAAUUACUUUCUCACAUUUACAUGCUGGUGUAGGCCAUCUUCUCUGAUACUACAGAAAAAUAAUGGAGCAACAGGAAAAAUAAGUGGAAUCCAUCAUUCAAAGUUUUUAUCACCCCUGAACACAUGAAUGAAACUGAAAACUAAAAUGUUUUCAUUUUAUAUAUAAUAUGACAGCUCGGAGUGUAAGGUUCCAAGAACAGCUUAAAAUACUAAUCAUCUCCUGUGCUCAUAUUGUGAGGGUUUUCAUGGAUCACAAAUAAUCAAUAAAGUGUUACUGUUGUCUCUGAGUGAUUACUGAUGAUUUAUGGUUAGAGCUUCUUUACUGUGGGAAGUAAUGGAUGUCAUUGUUCGCCUGAAUUACAGAAAUACACUGCCUUUAAAGUGUCUUUUCAGAAAGUAAAAUUGUUUGCCUUAAUGUUGGUUAUAUUUGUACAGAAAUAUACUUGUAAUGCCAUGUUUUUGCACAGUUUUCUGUAUCUGCAAGUGUGCUUUAAAACUUACUGUUUAAAAAAUGUAAUGGUUAUAGACAUUGUAAACUACUUAAGCUAGGGGCAUAAUUGGGUUGAAUGGGUUUCUUUGGUGUCACUGUGCUGUAGUGAUUCCCUAGCUUCUUUUCCUUCAAGGGUUCAAUGCUUUAUUUGGAUUCCACAUGUUUUAAAACUGAGAAGCUAGGUUGAUUAUACAAUGCUUGUUUUAUUCUUAUACGUUUCGUUUUGUUGAAGUAUUUGCAUGUUGAGAGAAUCCAUUGUAAUUAGUCUUCUAUUUUAAAGCUUCAUAAUAAAAUAUGUUCUGAAAAAUAAA